rnacentral:tRNA from 1 species
ACCUGGCUGGCUUAGUCGGUAGAGCAUGCAACUCUUGGUCUUGGGGUUGAGGGUUCAAACCCCAUGUCAGGUG